CCUACGGGAGGCAGCAGUGAGGAAUAUUGCGCAAUGGCCGAAAGGCUGACGCAGCGACGCCGCGUGGAGGAUGAAGUCCGUUAGGAUGUAAACUCCUUUUGCAGGGGAUGAAUGUGGUGCUUUAUGCACCAUUGACCGUACUCUGCGAAUAAGGAUCGGCCAACUACGUGCCAGCAGCCGCGGUAAUACGUAGGAUCCGAGCGUUGUCCGGAAUUACUGGGUGUAAAGGGCGUGUAGGUGGGUUUUCAAGUCGGUGGUGAAAUCCUGCAGCUCAACUGCAGAAUUGCCUCCGAUACUGGAGAUCUUGAGUGCGGCAGAGGGAGACGGAAUUCAUGGUGUAGCGGUGAAAUGUGUAGAUAUCAUGAAGAACACCGGUUGCGAAGGCGGUCUCCUGGUCCGCUACUGACACUGAGGCGCGAAAGCGUGGGGAGCAAACAGGAUUAGAUACCCUAGUAGUC
rnacentral:rRNA from 1 species